rnacentral:rRNA from 1 species
CCUACGGGAGGCAGCAGUGGGGAAUAUUGGACAAUGGGCGAAAGCCUGAUCCAGCCAUGCCGCGUGUGUGAAGAAGGCCUUCGGGUUGUAAAGCACUUUCAGCGAGGAAGAAUGCUUCGGGAUUAAUACUCCCGAGGAAAGACAUCACUCGCAGAAGAAGCACCGGCUAACUCCGUGCCAGCAGCCGCGGUAAU